CAAGCCAGCAACAGGAGCGGUGCACACCAUCGCGCAGGCCAGCUGCUGAAGAUUUCCUGCCAGAAAUUGCUGCUGGCUAUAAACAGUCUUUAGACUUGGCAGCUGAAAUCAAAUCUGAAGUGCAGCAGCUUAAAGACGUGGUGGGUGCCGUUGCGACAACCUUUCAGCGAGAGGCAGAAACGAUGCAGGGCCAAUCAGCUGCCCUGCAUCGCCUGGCUGCUGCUACAGAGGCACUGGCUGACUCGCAAGCACGCCAGGCCACUGCACUGGAGCGGAUGGCAGCUGUUCAAGAGAACACACUGGCCAACGAAUCUGCGUACCAGGCUCGUAUUGUUGUUGCAGCGGAGCGGCUAGCAAUUACAGGGCAGUUGAUACUGCAGCAAGUGCAGUGGCUGUCCACCGUCGCCCCUAUCAGCGCUGAACCUCCAGCGAAAUAGCGUCAUUGAUAUUUUAUUUUAUUCCACUUCUAUCAUUACAAGUUUUAAAGGUUCUUUUUAAAUGUUACUAUUGCCGUCCUACUUUAUUAUGCUAUUCCAGACAACUGAGGUUUUGUGUGUAGACAAAGUUCUUUCAAUUUUAUUCAUUUUGGUUUACAUCUUUUUAUUUUGCUAUAUUAUCCAAACCACCUACUCCAGACAAUCGUUUCAUUUUGUGUGUAGGCAAGAAUAUUUGCAUUUCAUUCAUUUCUGUUUGCAUCACUUUGUUAUGUCAUAUUACCCAAAAUAGCCUAGAUUACUUUGUGUACAUUUCUUGUUACUACCCUUAUUUUACAUUAUUAAUCCUGUCAGCUGUGAUAGACUCUGGGCAGUGCGCAACCAAUAAUAACUGCAAUUUGUUAUUUUAGCUCACUAUACCAUUCUCUUUCGCAGUGUUAUCCUAUCUCAGCCAAAUACUCUGUGAUGUUAUGACACAGUUAAUCCUGUCAGCUGUGAUAGUCUCUGGGCAGUGUGCAACCAAUAAUAACUGCAAUUUGUUAUUUUA